AGUGAACGCUGGCGGUAGGCCUAACACAUGCAAGUCGAACGAGUGGCGGACGGGUGAGGAACACAUCGGAAUCUACCCUGUCGUGGGGGAUAACGUUGGGAAACAUACGCUAAAACCGCAUACGAUAGGAUGAGCCGAUGUCGGAUUAGCUGGUUGGUGGGGUAAAGGCCCACCAAGGCGACGAUCCGUAGCUGGGCUGAGAGGAUGAUCAGCCACACUGGAACGUGGACACGGUCCAGACUCCUACGGGAGACAGCAGGGGGGAAGAUGGGACGAUGGGCGCAAGCCUGAUCCAGCCAUACCGCGUGGGUGAGGAGGGCCUUCGGGUUGUAAAGCCCUUUUGUUGGGAAAGGGGUACCCAGAGAAUAAGCACCGGCUAACGUCGUGCCAGCAGCCGCGGUAAUAC
rnacentral:rRNA from 1 species